UGAGCCAGCCGGGCAGUCGCGGCGCCUUAAACGUGGCGUCGAGGAAAGUCCGGACUCCACAGGGAAGGGUGGUGGGUAACACCCACCCGGGGUGACCCGCGGGACAGUGCCACAGAAAUCAAACCGCCGGCCGUUAGGCCGGUAAGGGUGAAACGGUGGUGUAAGAGACCACCAGCGGCUGGGGUGACUCAGUCGGCUAGGUAAACCCCACCCGGAGCAAGGCCAAGAGGAAAGACCGAGAGGUCUGACUGCGCGAACGAUGAGGGCGUCCCGUCCGAGUUCGCGGGUGGGCCGCAUCAGGUUUCCGGUAACGGAGGCCGCAGAUGGAUGGCUGCCGUCGGCUUCGGUCGGCACAGGAUCCGGCUUAUAGGCUGGCUCAUCCC
rnacentral:RNase_P_RNA from 1 species